UCGCCCACAAUGCCUUUCACGGGUUCAGCACGGAUGCGGCCGGGUAGUAGUGUCUUCGGACAACUCGACGGCUGGUCGGCGUAAGCGCCGAAGCUCUCUUACCAGGGGCAUCUCUGCUGGAGUCGUGAUCGGCGUCGAUCGCGCCGGUUGUCCGAUUCCUCCAAUGGUCUCCUCGCGCUAACCCCGUAGCGUGUGGUUUUUAGCGGGCUCCAGGCCCGCUUUUUUUU
rnacentral:ncRNA from 1 species